UUAGAACACCCUAAGAGAACGGAUUAAUUUUUAUUAAUUAUUCGGCUUCAUGAGACGAGACUUAGCUUUUGUUUAAAUCCGAUAGCCUGGAUUAACAAUAGAAAUUCUCUGAUUAUUAUUUCAGAAUAAUAAUUCAUGCAUAAGGAUCAUGCAUAGUUAAAUACACAUUCUCAUUUGAGGAUUUUUAUUCGAGCAAAUAUCUUAUACAUGUACAUAUAUUCUCGUAAUAAAGGUCAAGGGCGAGAUUGAUAAUCUAUUGAGGAGCUUUUGUAUCACAGAAAAUCACUAUCAGGUGGGCAUUACUUUCAUAUAUAUCAAAUGAGUUUAAUGUUAUGUUUGAACAGUUAUUUCAUUGCAAAAUCAUUGAACUGAAAAUUAUUUCAACUGUUGUCUUGCCAUAAAUGUUUCAAUGUUUGGUAUGAUAUCUAUCUGAUGUGGCUUUGCCAGUUAUUAUGCAAUCGAAUUCGGGUCCUGAGCAGUUGAUAGCUAUCCUGCCAGGGCUAGUGUACACCAGUGACCGUGAGUCAUCUAGCGGGUUGGCCGGUCAAGUGACCGUGAGAGGUGGCCACCUCUCCGGCACACAGUUCCAGAUAUGAUAGAUUACAAGAGAACUUAGACUGCAGUCGAACUUUAAGAAUCACAAAUGAAAUUAGUUGAGCAGCUGCCGAUGGUGAUGAAGUGACGAGCGGGACUCUUUUGUAUUAUUAUGUAUUAAUGAACUCUAGGGUUACAUGUCUUCAUACAUGUAAUCAGAACCAUAUUCCGCUGCGUACUCAGAAGUUUUAUGUUAUUUUGAAUAAGUCGGAGUUAUCCGAACUUACUAAUUAUUUGAGUCUACACGACUAAAACUCCGUUAUAUUAUAAAUAUCCAUGUUGUUAAAAAUGAUGAAA